rnacentral:ncRNA from 6 species
GACCCUGUUGAGCUUGACUCUAGUUUG